AGGGAAGCAAGCCAGUAAGCAGCCCCUCACCAUGGCCUCUUGCAUCAGCGCCUGCCUCAAGAUUCCAGUCCUGCUUGGGUUCCUGUUUUGACUUCUUCCAAUGAUGAACUAUGAUCCAGAUGUGAAUAUGGACGGUUACCCAUGGAGGUGAGGGAAAGGCUGCAAAUCCCCUGGAGCUGGAGUUACAGAUGUCUACGAGCCACCAACUGUGGGUAGGAGGAACCGGACUCCAGUCCUCCGGAAGAAGAGCAAGCACUCUCCACCGCUGAGCCUCCUCUUCUGCCUGUUCCCUUUCUGUUCCCAUGCCCUCAGCUUCCUCUUCUUGCCUUAUGAGCUAAGAGUCUCAGUCAUCAGUAACAAGAGGUAUAAGCAGACGCUGACAGCGUUGUCUCGCUCCAUCCAGGUCUUAGAGAGAGCGCUGUCAGCUCUUCCGAUGCUGCACGGCGUUUGCUGUGGAUUUGUGAUAAGCAGCCAUUGCUGUACUGAGUUUUAUUCCUUCUGUGCAUGAAAUGAACAGAGUUUUUAUCAUAAAGAGGUGUUGGAUUGUAUUGAAUUCGCACUCCACAUAUUUUAACGCAUCACUCAGCGCAGUGUCUGACGUUGUAGAUAGCCAGUAAGUACUUGCUAAAUGAGGAAAUAGAAUCGGGUGCUCUUACAGCUUGGAUACAGUCAGAUUUUUCAAUCAGUGGUUCAAAUAAAGUUACACUGAUACUAGAGCCUUCCAUCUCCUAAUCACAAUUUCCAUUCCACUGCAAAAGUCUCCCUGGUUAGUCAGGGGGUGAUGGAGCAUGCCUUUAAUCCCAGCAUUCUAGAGGCAGAGGCAGGUGGAUCUCUGAGUUCCAGGCCACCCUGGUCUACAGAGUGAGUUCCAGGACAGCCAAGAGUACACAGAGAAACUCUGUCUUGAAAUAAACAAACAAAUAAGCAAACGUUUCCCUGCCAUCAGGAGAAUAUGGUGAUAUCCUUCAAGCAGCAUUGUGAUGGUUGCUCUUGUCAGUUGGAUGGAAUUCCUAAUCAUACUGGAUAAAAGCAUCUGAGCAUGUGUGUGAGGGGCUUUCCAGAUUGCAAUACCUGGAGCGGGAAGAUCUACGAUGAAUGUGGGUGGCACCAUCUCACGGACUGGAAUGCCGGACUGAAUAAACGAUGUGACAGUGAGCUCCGCGCCUGCAUCCCUUUCUCUCUGCUUCCUGACUGUGGGUAAAUGCGGCCGGUAGUCACAGACCCUGCCACCAUGCCUUUUCUGCUGGGAUGAACUGAGUCACAAUAGACGCUGCUUUAAUUGCUUUUGUCAAGUAUUUGGUCACAGCCAUGAGAAAGGAACUAAUACAGACAUCUUCAGUGCCCCUAAGCCAACCCAAGGCCCCCAAAUCAGCCCAAGGCCUAGCUGCUGUUAACAGCAGCUGCCAGCUGUUAGGAAGGUCACUGACUCUGCCCUGAGGCCUUCAGCUGACCCCUGACUCUGCUAUGGGAUUCUUGCACUGAUGAUGGACUGAUGGUCUACCAGACUGCUGCUAAUAGCGCUGCCUUGCCUGAAGUUCGGAUUAUGCUGACUCUUUCUGUCCAGUAUCAAUGCUGCCCUCACACCGCACGGUGACAACAAAGCAACCCCUGUGGAUUGAGAAUGAGGACUCCUCGGGAAAAGGCUCCGUGACCGGACACCUGAGACCCUCAAAGAAACUGAUGGGCUAAUGCGGGACAGGGGCACACGUUAGCGGGAACUUCUUACUUAUGCAUGACUUCUGCUCACUAACCCUAAACCACACGUCAGGAUCCUGAAGAUGAACUUAGAGUGUCACUGACUUCUUUAUUUGUUCCUCUUUCCAAUAUAGUCAUAUUGAAUAAACCUCCUUUCUCGACUUUUCA